rnacentral:rRNA from 1 species
AUGCAGCAUUAUAUGUGGACGGCAUUGAUCUUCCAGCUGCUCCUUGCGGCAGCUACAACAGCAGCUACCACCGCGGUGACUGAUGGGUGUCCGCCGAGCUGCGGCGGCGUGGACAUCCCCUACCCCUUCGGCAUCGGCGCUGGCUGCUUCCGCAAGGGCUUCGAGAUCGAGUGUGCCAAGGGCGGCCCUGUGCUCGCCGGCACGCCCCUCCGGGUGGUGAAGCUGUCGCUGGAUCCAGACGAGUCGCAGGUAUUGCUUCCCAUCGGGUCGCAGUGCUUCAACACCUCCAGUCCAGCUGAAACCAACGACAUCAUGUAUGGACAGACGAUGAUGAACGAGCACGGCGUGUACCGCAUCUCCGACACGCACAACAUGCUCGUCGUCGUCGGCUGCAACACCGUCGGCUACAUCGCCAGCAAGGAGACCGUUGGGGGCGGCGAGGACUACGCCUACAACAUCGGGUGCAUGUCCUACUGCAACAACUCGGAGAGCGCACAGAACGGCCACUGCAAAGGCGUCGGGUGCUGCCACGUCGACAUCCCGCCGGGGCUCACCGACAACUACUUCGACUUCGACUCCGAAUACAACCACUCCGCCAUGAUGAAUUUCAGCUCGUGCGACUACGCCUUCCUCGUCGACAGGAACAACUACACCUUCCACCGGUCCGAUCUCAAGAUGGACAGAAGCCGGACCUCGCUAGUGUGGCUCGACUGGGCCAUUCGCGGCUCUGCCGAUAUCUCCGGCGACGAAAUACUAUCGUGCAAACAAGCGGCCAUGACGGGCCAGUACGCCUGCGUCAGCGCUCACAGCGACUGCGUCGACUCCACCAAUGGGCCUGGCUACAACUGCAAGUGCUCCAGUGGCUACCAGGGCGACGCCUACUUGCCCAACGGAUGCACCAAUAUAAAUGAAUGUGCAAAUCCAGCCAAUUAUCCUUGCUAUGGUGUGUGCAGAGACACCGAAGGAGGGUACGGAUGCUACUGUCCUGUAGGUUAUCGUAGCCAUGACCCACAAACUGAACGAUGCACUCAAAAGUUCCCACUUGCAGCACAGAUUUCCGUAGGUGCUAUAGGUGGCAUUCUUGUCUUGGCAUUUCUUGCAUUCUUUUUCGUUCUUCGCAAAGAGAAGCAGAAGGCCAAAGACUUUUACCGAAAGAAUGGCGGUCUUACAUUAGAGAAAGCUAGAACUAUUAAGAUUUACACAAGGGAAGAUCUCAAACCUAUUUUAAAGAGUAGCAAUUUAAUUGGUAAAGGUUUCUUUGGUGAAGUUUACAAGGGUGUUGUUGAUGGAUUUAUAGUCGCAGUAAAGAAACCAAAUGAUAGUAAUGUGCUGGCGAAGGAGCAAUUUCCAAAUGAAGUCACCAUCCUGUCUCAAGUCAGCCACAAGAACAUCGUAAGGCUUUUAGGUUGUUGCCUCGAAGUGGAUAACCCCAUGCUAGUCUAUGAGUUCAUCUCCAAAGGAAGCUUGGAGGACAAUCUUCAUAUAGCUAACAACAAGGAGCCUCUCAACUUGGAUGUACGUCUAAGUAUUCUUGAAGACUCAGCACAUGGUCUAGCUUAUAUGCACUCACAAACCCAUAACACAAUCCUGCAUGGUGAUGUUAAACCAGCAAACAUACUCUUGGAUGAGAACUUUUCCGCGAAGAUCGCGGAUUUUGGCAUAUCAAGGUUGAUUGCAAAAGGCAAGGAACACACUGCAAGUGUCAUUGGUGACAUGUCUUAUAUGGAUCCAGUGUACCUACAAACAGGUCGAUUGACCGACAGAAGUGAUGUCUACAGUUUUGGGGUUGUCAUCUUAGAGCUCAUUAGCAGGAAGAGGGCCACUCAUUCUGAAAAUAAUAGCCUAGUGAGGAGCUUCCUAGAGUGUUGCCAAAAUGGGGAGAGCUUGACUGAGCUCUAUGAUAAGGAAAUUGCAUCGUCAGGAGAUUUGGAAUUUCUUAACAAGUUGCUUGAGAUUGCUCUUGAGUGUCUUAACCUUGAUGCAGAUCAAAGACCAUCAAUGACAGAUGUUGCAGGGCGCCUUCUCAUGCUGCAUAGGUCCCGUAACCCUUAG